GGCACCAUAGUUCAAUGGAUAGAAUAGGAGUUUCCUAAACUCUUGAUGUAGGUUCGAUUCCUACUGGUGCUA
rnacentral:tRNA from 1 species